GCAAGCUGGUGUCAGAAUCGCCCCCAAAGUCCUUCCGUCGGCCUGCUGGCAGCUCUGUUUCUGGACGGAGACCAAGCGGAAGGACGGGCUCUGCGCAGUGUGCGCCCCGCACAACGGCUCAGGCCAACCGCGUCCCCCAAGCUCUCCCAGGACCUGCUUCUCCUCUCACUUGGCUUCUCGCAGCUCCGUGCCAAGCAUUCAAUUACCCUCCUGCUGCUGCCUCCAGCCACAUGGGUCUGAUGGCCCACACCCCUCAUUGGCAUGGCAUCCUCCGUGAACCUUUCCUCAGGGCUGGCCAGAGCUGUGGCCCUCAAGCACUCACAGGGAAAGCUGCGAAAGAAGGGGGAAAAGCAGCUGGAAUCUGGAAUCUUCUAUCUUGAGAUUUAAUUUAACAGUCUAACAAUGACCUCAGUCUAGAAAUACAGCCUUUCCACCAGUC